CAAUAAUAAAGCAAAUGACCAAGAAACAACUUUUAUAUUAAUCAGGAUUCGUUUUUAAGUUGAAGUGACCAAAAUACAACUCAAACUAACUCAAGCAAAAAAGAAAUAGGUACUGGGGAGAGGGGACAGUAGGGGAACAGGCUCCCACAUACUGAGAUCUGGGAACACAAAGGGAAGUUAUCAGGUCUCUCUCCCUCUCAGCUCUGCUUCUUUCAGUGUGGUGGCCUCAUUCUUUCUAACUGAAGAACGAUCUUUACUGCAGAAAAUUCUAAGCAUUAUUGUGGCAGAUCCAGUAAGUCCCAGAGAAGGAUUCUGAUUGGUCCUGCUUCAGUCACAUGCUUGCAUCUUAGUCCAAUCACUGUGGCCUGGAGGAUGGGACACCAUGAUUUGCAAGACUCUGGUCACAUGCCCACACCUGUGGCUUCUGAAGCAGAGCACCAGCAGUGACAGUCCCACCAGAACCGCAUGGAAUAGAAAACUGUGCAUUUCCCUAAGGAAAGGGAAUGCCAGAGAAGGGCAGAAGGGAAAUCAGGAAGACAAAACGGUAAAUUACCUACCACAAAUCCAAUUCAUUGGUAUUUUUCCACUUACACUUAACCAAGCAACGAUUUCUCCUGGUCCCAUAAUGGAAAAGAGGGUUUAUCUAGAUUCAUAUAUACAAGACUGAAGAGUGAAGAGAGACCCAGAGAAUGUUCUAAAAUCUGCCAGUUAGCAUAAUCACACAGAGAAAUCUCUGCUUCCAGAGGAGGAGCCAAGUUCAAGUCAGAGGUGAGGAAUGCCAACAGGAAAGCUCACUUUCUCCGGGGAUAUUCAGGCCAACACUAGGAAACCACAGCCAAGUCAGGCAGGGCUUGGGGCGGAACUGCUGACACCUCCACCCUAGCCAAUCCAAGGUGCACGCCUGCCUCAUGCAGCCCAGCGUGACUCCCGCCAUUGGCACACUGUGCCCAUCACAGGCUGGAGCUCCUUUCCUCCACCGUCUUCCCAACUCCUGCCAACCAGAACUUAACUACUCCUUUGGAUUCUGCUUUUCACUUGUUCUUCAUCAGACUAUGGAAGCUUAGACUUCAUAAUUUGGCUGAGACUUCAAAAAUAGUUUUAAAGAAAGCUAUUCCCACCCUGCUAAAUGUCUUCAUGUUGGAGUGGACCUUUCCUCUAUCUGUCAACAGAAUGGAUAAAUUGUGGAAGAGUAAUAUCAGAAUACUACACAUCAGUAAAAAACAACAAACUUCUGCUACAAACAAUCAACAUCGAUGAAUCUUUCAGGCAAAAGGGCAUCCAAAUGGAGGCUAAUGAGUGCAUCCCAAAAUGCUGGUCCAACAUGAUCAAUACAGACUCCUUGGCUGGAUUCUCAGAAAUAUGGAUUCCAAUGCAAAAGGUUAAUGCCUACAAUAAGUGUUCUUGAAAUACAGUCACGCGUUGCUUAACCAUGGGGAUAUAUUCUGAUAAAUUCAUCAUUAGGCGAUUUCAUCACUGGGCGAACAUCACAGCUCGUACUCACACAAACCUAGAUGUCAUAGCCUACUACACACCUAGGCUAUAUGAUAUAGGCUAUUGCUAGCAACAAACCUGUACAGCAUGUUACUGUCUUGAAUACUUAGGCAGCAGAGCACAAUGUUAUAGAAACAGAUGAUCAGUGGCCCACGGAUUCCAGGUGAGGAUCUGGGACCCAGACAUCCAGAUAUUGAAAACACAGGGAUGGAGUCUGUAUGGAAAAAAUUAAAAUAUAGCAAAAUGUGAAAUACGGAAGAGAAAUCUUUCAAUUUCCCAAUGGAAGUGAGAAAAGAGCAAAGAAAAGUAUUGGUCUUCCAAAACAAAUAGAGGACGGAGCUGCUGCUGUUGCAUGGUGUCUAGAAACUCAGACAACUUCAUCAUUCCAUAUUUGCAUCCAAGAGAGAGAAAGAAAAACUACAAUCAUUUUCCAUUUACCCAUCAACCCAUCAACCUCCAAAUAAAGGCUAUUAAAAAACAAUCAAAGUGUGAAGAGGGCAGAAAAUGUGAUGAAGAGAUUCUUUGGAGAAAGUAGCUGCCACUGUUACCUUGGGAUCUGCCUAUAGUCCUCACAGAGCUUGCCCUUGCAGGAUAGAACAUAGGAGUCUGGGAGUCUGCAAGAAGAGACAGGGUCUCACUAUGUUGCCCCAGUUGGCCUUGAA
rnacentral:lncRNA from 1 species